AAAUUAAGAAAUAUACAACUAUUUUUAUGUUAAGCAUAAAUUCAAUCUGAAAAGAUUUGCAUUAUACUUAUUUAGGUGAACAUCUACAGUCCCACUUGAUUGACAUACACGUGCCACAUGUACCAGCUAUAGUUGAAGACAAAGAAACAGCAUUUGAUAUUGAUGUACACAGUGUACCAAGUUCACAAGACACAGACACAGUGGGUACAGACAUGGAGUUUGAAAUUCUCUCCACAAGUUCUUGUUACCCUUCCUUACCAUCAUCCCAAGACUGGUAUGAGCAGAACAAAACACCAAAAGAAAAACUAAAUGAAGCAUUACUGAGACUUUCACGUAAUUUAACAGUA